rnacentral:rRNA from 1 species
UGCGUAGGCGGUUUUCUAAGUUUGGUGUGAAAUCUCCCGGCUUAACUGGGAGGGUGCGCCGAAGACUGGAAGGCUUGAGUAUGGGAGAGGUAAGCGGAAUUCCUGGUGUAGCGGUGAAAUGCGUAGAUAUCAGGAAGAACACCUGCGGUGUAGACGGCUUACUGGACCAUAACUGACGCUGAGGCACGAAAGCGUGGGUAGCAAACA